GGGGAAUAUUGGACAAUGGGCGCAAGCCUGAUCCAGCCAUGCCGCGUGAGUGAUGAAGGCCCUAGGGUUGUAAAGCUCUUUCAACGGUGAAGAUAAUGACGGUAACCGUAGAAGAAGCCCCGGCUAACUUCGUGCCAGCAGCCGCGGUAAUACGAAGGGGGCUAGCGUUGUUCGGAAUUACUGGGUGUAAAGCGCACGUAGGCGGAUCGAUCAGUUAGGGGUGAAAUCCCGGGGCUCAACCCCGGAACUGCCUCUAAUACUGUCGAUCUCGAGUUCGAGAGAGGUGAGUGGAAUUCCGAGUGUAGAGGUGAAAUUCGUAGAUAUUCGGAGGAACACCAGUGGCGAAGGCGGCUCACUGGCUCGAUACUGACGCUGAGGUGCGAAAGCGUGGGGAGCAAAC
rnacentral:rRNA from 1 species